rnacentral:rRNA from 1 species
UACGGGGGGAGCAAGCGUUGUUCGGAUUUACUGGGCGUAAAGGGCGCGUAGGCGGCGCAACAAGUCACUUGUGAAAUCUCCGGGCUUAACUCGGAACGGUCAAGUGAUACUGUUGUGCUAGAGUACGGAAGGGGCAACUGGAAUUCUCGGUGUAGCGGUGAAAUGCGUAGAUAUCGAGAGGAACACCUGCGGCGAAGGCGUGUUGCUGGGCCGACACUGACGCUGAUGCGCGAAAGCCAGGGGAGCGAACGGG